UUAUAAACCUGAUGGAAACGGCAGCCCACUCCCGAUAUUUUCAAUCGGGAGCGGCUAUAGUGUACAGCAGGGCUACAG
rnacentral:sRNA from 1 species